AACCUGCAAAGCCGACAUCAGUCAGAACCUUCAAACCCAAACCGGUUCUGGACGCUGUCCAGAUGCAGGGGGGGGGGGGUUACUGACCUGCCAGCCCCACGUUGGCAGAGUUCGCCACGGCCACCGCCUCCUCCUCCGUCUCAAACCUGCAAUCAGAAAACCUCUUAUCCCUUUAUCGGGCAAGUGACUGUUUCUGGUAAUUUCCGCAUAUGUUAGUUAUCACGCCCAUCCCCCGUCUCAGUGAGUUCAAGAAUCAUGGGAUCUUUACCCAGCCAAUCAGCAAAGAUCAUCCUACAUUAUAGGCUACUCAAUUGUGCAACUUGACCAAUCAGCAGAGAGCAGGGUCACAUCAAAUUUCCCUUUUUCUCCAAAAUCAGAAAAAGUUGCUUUUGCAGCUCAGUUCACUGGACAUUUUCAAAGGAAUCGUCAAAACUAACCAUGCUUCCAUCAAUCUUUCAUGGCAAGAGGAGGGAGACUGCUGUUGUGCCAGUCCACCCUGACAUUAGUGAUGAUGAUGAGGAUCAAGAUGAUGACGUGUCAGACCCCGACUUCGCCCCACCCACCAACAACCAGGACAUUCCCAGACCCUCACACACAGUUGUGUGAAGGUCUAUUCAACACUUUUGUUAUCAGCACUUUUAUGUUCUAAAAGUGAUGUUCAAAUGUUCAAAUACAUAUGUGUUUUCUUAUAUUUAUAUAUAUAUAUAUAUGUAUACUUAUUGGAAUUUGUUUUCCCACUCACGGGCAAGUGACCAAAUAUGGUCACUUCAUUGGCAUUGAUAUUCUACAUGAAAAUAAAAAAAAAUUAAAAAAAUGUCACCAAUGA